rnacentral:rRNA from 1 species
CGUAGGGUGCAAGCGUUAAUCGGAAUUACUGGGCGUAAAGCGUGCGCAGGCGGUGAUGUAAGACAGGUGUGAAAUCCCCGAGCUUAACCUGGGAACUGCAUUUGUGACUGCAUCGCUGGAGUGCGGCAGAGGGGGGAUGGAAUUCCGCGUGUAGCAGUGAAAUGCGUAGAUAUGCGGAGGAACACCGAUGGCGAAGGCAAUCCCCUGGGCCUGCACUGACGCUCAUGCACGAAAGCGUGGGGAGCAAACAGGAUUAGAUACCCUGGUAGUCCACGCCCUAAACGAUGUCAACUGGUUGUUGGGUCUUCACUGACUCAGUAACGAAGCUAACGCGUGAAGUUGACCGCCUGGGGAGUACGGCCGCAAGGUUG